GACGAACGCUGGCGGCGUGCUUAACACAUGCAAGUCGAGCGGGAAACUUCGGUUUCCAGCGGCGGACGGGUGAGUAACACGUGGGCAACCUGCCUCACAAUGAGGGAUAGCCCUCCGAAAGGAGGAUUAAUACCUCAUACACAAGAGAAACGCAUGUUUCUCUUGCCAAAGAAUUUCGUUGUGAGAUGGGCCCGCGGCGCAUUAGCUUGUUGGUGAGGUAACGGCUCACCAAGGCUUCGAUGCGUAGCCGACCUGAGAGGGUGAUCGGCCACAUUGGAACUGAGACACGGUCCAGACUCCUACGGGAGGCAGCAGUGGGGAAUAUUGCACAAUGGAGGAAACUCUGAUGCAGCAACGCCGCGUGAGUGAUGAAGGUCCUCGGAUUGUAAAGCUCUGUCUUCUGGGACGAUAAUGACGGUACCAGAGGAGGAAGCCACGGCUAACUACGUGCCAGCCGCCGCGGUAACAC
rnacentral:rRNA from 1 species